GUACUUCAUGACGAAGAGUUCCUGCAGAGCUGCUGUGAUUCUUCUGGGCCUGCUGUGUCUUCUUCUCUUGAUUGGACUCAUAACUCUGUUUUUUCUUUUCACCCAAGGCAAAUCUCAGCAGACAGUGGAGAUGAUGAUGUCAUAAAACCGUUACAAAAACCUGACCAGAAAGUGGAAUGAGUUGCAGACCAGUUACAGCAGCGUAACAACUGAACAACACCAGUUACAGACCAGGCACAGUAUUCUGAAAAUGGAACGAGACCAGCUACAGAAAAGCUACAACAAUAUGGUGGAAGACAGAGGCCAGCUCCAAAAGAGAUUUGAAGACAUGACCAAAAAUAGAGAUGAUCUUGGAGUUAAAUGUGACUCAACAAAAGUUUGAAGUUUUGAAAUAAUAGAAAUUUAGUAUCCAAAGCAGCACAUGUGUUGGUUCACCAUGUUUAAUAUAUACAGUAUAGUCACACAGUUAAAUCCACUACGAAAGAACUGAUAUAAUACUGUAAUAUUUCAGUAAAGACUGCCUUUAAUCACUUAAUUCAGCUGACUUCUUCGCUCAGGCUGAGCUAAUUCAUGAUGUGUCAGCUGGUUUUCAUUUCUCUAUUUUGUUGUUAAAAAAAUAUCACACAACCAAAUGCAGAAGUGACUCCACUACUGACAGCUGCUAGAAAUGACAAAAGCGGCAUCAGGCCUCCUAACAGUGAUGAGUUCUCUGCAGAGAUAAACUCAUUUCACUCAACCUGCAGACAUUCCUGUUUUUUUUCUUUCCUUUAACAGGUUGUCUACAAGAAUGGACGUACUUCAGUGGUAGUUUAUAUUACAUUUCUUCAAACAAGAAAUCCUGGCAAUAAAGUAGAAAUGACUGUCUCCAGAGAGGUGCAGAUCUGGAAUUCACAAGAAAUUUUCAAAAGCUGAUGUGGACAGGAUUGACUGACAGUGAGCAAGAGGGGAUCUGGAAAUGGAUGGAUGGGCCUCUGCUUAUUACAAGCAACUGGGCUGCGUAUGAGCCAAACAGUUUUCCACAAAGAGAUGAGGACUGUGCAGAAAUAAAGAACUUUCAUUUCCAAAAUGCCUAGAAUGAUGAAUCAUGUGACCUUGAGAGAGUCUGGAUCUGCGAGAAGAAACUGGUUACAUAAAUCAGUAUCCAAACUCAUCACACAGUGAUGGAAAACAGAAAAGAAGUUCAUGAAAUGUAUAUGACUGAUCCUGUCAGCUCACUGUUAUCUACAGUAUAAGCUUUGCAUCAAAAGUCCUUAUUAUCACUUCCUUGUACAUGACAGUGUGUGAUAUAUGCUAAAUAAACAAUCUCUGUAUUCUGUAUAUCUGUAUAUAGUAUAUCCCACAUAUAUUUGGGAAGUAUGCAUAUUUCCACAGUAGCAGUCAGGUACAGGUGAUCAAAUGCAUUGGAUUAACUGAUCAUCAGUAAUUGUGAGCACCUUUAUAUUAGCAGAGGUUUUAGCAGUUAGCUGGUCUGGAGUAUUCAGGUGUGUUAAUCUGAUUAACUUAAAUAAAGACACACUGUUCAUGUAACUUAGACUCAACUUUAUAUAAGAUCCUUGCACAGUUCACAACUGACUUCUAACGUUGGUUUCAAAUGCUAUUUGGGAGAGUCACGGUGUGCUUUUCUAGAGACUAGAGCUACACUUUGUGGCUGCCCUGUGAAUAAUUUAGAUUUAUAAAAACAAAUCUGAGGUGCUUGGGCAGGAAUGGCAGUCACUUUAUACUCUACACAAUCAUGCAUGUAACGUUUGCUAUGUCCAGAUGAACUGAAUCAACCUUUUGGGAAUAAUGCAUGUACACAUGCUUUAUUUUUAUUUUUUUUUAACCUGUCCCGUUUGGUUCUUUUGCCAUCAGAAUUAUUGUCUAAAGGCGAAGAAAGAUGCCAGGAGGGAUAUUAGACCCCUUCUGUCAAAAUAUUCAUGAGCUUUUUGAGUGUUAGGUUCUAUGAAUUAUUCAUGAGCUCAGGAAGUAAUUAAAUUAUGAUAAUAAUUAAAUUAUGAUAAUAAUUAAAUUAUGAUAUUCAUAAAAAUUAUGAUUUUCAUAAAAAUAUGAUAUUCAUCCAAAAUAUGCUAGUUCAUUGCUUUUCUUCCCCCAAAAAUAAGAACUAAUUGCUUAUUUUAGAAAAGUUUUUAUAUCAAAUAACAUUCUUUUAUUUUUUUAAUCCAAUAAAAACUUUUUCCUUUUUUCCCUAAAGAAACGCCAUCUGGUGGUGGGUCAGCGCAUGACAGCGCAUGAGUGCACAGGGCGCGCACGAGCGCGCCUGUGUGUCUAGGCGCGCUCGUGCGCGCGCCUGACUCGGGACCGUGCUUCUGUGGGGGCUCCGUGUUUAUGGGUGAAAAUGUGUUAAACCAGUAUAAAUGUGCUUAGUUAAACUU
rnacentral:lncRNA from 1 species